CUUUUUGAGAUCUCUGAGGCACCUGGAGCUGUUCUUAGGGACUCUCUGAGGAACAUUGGGGUCCUUUUUGGGGUCUCUGAGGCACCUGGAGCUGUUCUUAGGGGGUCUCUGAGGAACACUGGGGUCCUUUUUGGGGUCUCUGAGGUACCUGAGGGUACUUUUUGGGAUCUCUGAGGAACAUUGGGGUCCUUUUUGGGGUCUCUGAGGUACCUGAAGUUCUUUAUGGGGUCCCUGAGGCACCUGAGACUUUUCUUUGGGGGUCUCUGAGGAACAUUGGGAUCCUUUUUGGGGUCCCUGAGGCACCUGGAGCUGUUCUUCGGGGGUCUCUGAGGUACAUUGGGGUUCUUUUUGGGGUCUCUGAGGCACCUGGGACCCUUCUUGGUGUGCUCCCCUCACCUGGAGCUGUUCCAGGGGAUUCUCUGAGGUACCUGGGGGUCCUUUUUGGGAUCUCUGAGGCACCUGGAGCUGUUCUUAGGGAGUCUCUGAGGAACAUUGGGGUCCUUUUUGGGGUCUCUGAGGUACCUGAGGGUACUUUUGGGGGUCUCUGAGGUACACUGGGGUUCUUUUUGGGGUCUCUGAGGCACCUGGAGCUGUUCUUAGAGAGUCUCUGAGGAACAUUGGGGUCCUUUUUGGGGUCUCUGAGGUACCUGGGAUCCUUUUUGGGAUCUCUGAGACACCUGGAGUUGCUCGGGGAGGGGAGGUCUCUGAGGCACCUGGAGCCAUUUUUGGGGUGCCCCACACACCUGGGUGCCUUUUCUGGGGUGCCCCACACAGCUGGGCCCGUUUUUGGGGGCGCCCCAGUGACACCCCCGUGUCCCCAGGGCCGUACACGUUCAGCAUCGGGGACACCAGCGGCUACGGGGACUACGUGCGAGGUGGCAUCGUCACCCAGGUCAAGAUGCCCAAGCACAUC